AUUUAAGAAGUACUUUAAUUAAUUUUAAGCAAUCUAAAUUUUCACCAUAUUUGCAGGCUCCAUAAAGCCUUUUAACUUCUGGAAAUACUCCACCUUCCAGUUCAUUAUACAGAAACUCAGUACCUCCUCUCCACAAAUGCCACAGGGCUCUGCCUAUGCAGCUAUUUUUCUCUUUCUAUUUAGUUUGUUAUGGUGUGGAGUCUUAAAGUAGACGAGGUUAUUUUGGUAUUCUGAUAUUUUAGGUGUUUUUUCCCCUUUUAUGUAUGUUCUUUACUUGUAAUUUGUGUCUAUGUUGCAGUUCUUAAACAAUAAUUAUAAGCAAAGUGAGGAGGAAAAGGUUGAUUUGGUUCAUGGAUUACACUCAAGGGAAGACAAGGCAUGAAUCUGGAUAAUGUCACUGAAACUUAGUCAUUCGAGGUCUAUUUACUGGCUUGUUCUGCAUAAUUUCUGAUGUACCACUGCCUGUGGGCAACGCUGUUUUUAAUGGGCUGGACACUCCUACAUCAAUUACCACUUUAAAAUAUGCUUCACAGGUCUGAUGAUAGGCUAAACUGAUAGAGAUAAUUUCUCUAUUAGGAUCUCUGUGUCUUUAUACUGUGCUUUUUAUUAAGAACACAAGAACUUAAAAGAAUAACCACCUUGCAAUCCCUGCACUACUUGCAAACAGGACACUACCACCUCUUCUUUCUAAAUUUCAAGUUGAUGGGAAACGAUUUUACUUUUACUCAAAUUCUCCACAUACUGAUGUCUGUCACCAUAAAAUGCACUAAGUGAAAUCUGGUAACUUUGUUUCUGUAUAUAAAAUAAACUUAUUAAUGGCACAUGCUAAUAUAAUAUAAUUUGUGAAGCGGUAAGUAAAACUCCUGAUAUCAGGAUAUGUUUAUUUUUCCUUAGAUGCUGACCUCUGUGUGCAGUGCUGAUUGUGGUCCAGGAUUUAGAAAAUUCAGGAGGAAUGGAAUGCCAGCCUGCUGUUUUGAUUGCAGUCCCUGCCCAGAAAAUGAAAUUUCUAAUGAGACAAGUGAGUAUUUCCUACAGGGAUAAGUUCUUCAAAUUGAUUAUCACCUUGCAGCCAACUGUGAAUGAUGAAGUUGUCUAAAAUGGUAUGUUAAAAAAUACAUAUCAUUUUCCUAAGUUGGGGAUUAUAAGAGUACAAUAAUUUAAAAUACCCUUAUUAAGAAAAAUAGAACUUGUCAUAUAUCUUUGACUCACUGAAAAUUUAUAGUAGAUGGAAUAUUCUCAAACAGUUUUGAUUAGAAAACUUCAGUGUUAGUGUGUUCUAGAAAAGAUCUUUCCUAGGGAUUAACUCUCUCGAAAAAUAUAUGUAGAUCAUGAGUCUUUAAAAGAUGUGUUUAUAUUGUCUUGAUGUAUGUACCUUUACAUAACUUUAUGCACUCCUAUCGAGUAGAAAAGUAUAUGGGGGCUGGUGAGAUGGCUCAGCGGGUAAGAACACUGACUGCUCUUCCAAAGGUCCUGAGUUCAAAUCCCAGCAACCACAUGGUGGCUCAAAACCAUCCGUAAAGAGAUCUGACUCCCUCUUCUGGAGUGUCUGAAGACAGCUACAGUGUACUUACAUAUAAUAAACAAACAAACAAACAAACAAACAAAUAAAUAAAUAAAUAAAUCUUAAAAAAAAAAAAAAAGAAAAGUAUAUGGAAGACAGAAUCAGGCAUGUGACUAGAGGGAACCAAG